UGCUAGUAUGGUACAGUGGUUAGCAUGUCUGUUUAGAAAAGUCAUGUGAUAUUAUAAAAUAUCUUUUUAAGAUCCUGAGUUCAAUUCCCAGAUCGGCCG